AGAAUCAACGCUGGCGGCGUGCCUAACACAUGCAAGUCGAACGAGAAAGUGGUAGCAAUACCAUGAGUAAAGUGGCGCACGGGUGAGUAACACGUGACUAACCUACCCUUGAGUGGGGGAUAACUGAGGGAAACCUUAGCUAAUACCGCAUAAUACCCACGGGUCAAAGGAGCAAUUCGCUCGAGGAGGGGGUCGCGGCCGAUUAGUUAGUUGGCAGGGCAAUGGCCUACCAAGACGAUGAUCGGUA
rnacentral:rRNA from 1 species